AUUGAACGCUGGCGGCAGGCUUAACACAUGCAAGUCGAACGAGUGGCGGACGGGUGAGUAAUGUAUGGGAAUCUGGCUGAUGGAGGGGGAUAACGACGGGAAACAGUGGCUAAUACCGCAUACCAUAGGAUCAGCCCAGAUGGGAUUAGCUAGUUGGUGGGGUAAAGGCUCACCAAGGCGACGAUCCCUAGCUGGUCUGCGAGGAUGACCAGCCACACGGGGACUGAGACACGGCCCAGACUCCUACGGGAGGCAGCAGUGGGGAAUAUUGCGCAAUGGGGGCAAUCCUGACGCAGCCAUGCCGCGUGAAUGAAGAAGGCCUUCGGGUUGUAAAGUACUUUCGGUUGCGAGGCGUUAAUCGCAGAAGAAGCACCGGCUAACUCCGUGCCAGCAGCCGCGGUAAUUC
rnacentral:rRNA from 1 species